CCUACAUGAAGCUAGCCGGAAGGAAUAAUAAAAUAUGAUUAUUUUUAAUUUUUCUUAGUUUGUAAAUCGCUUGUGAUGAUACGUGUGAGUUUGUUAUACUUCAAAAUGUACGAAGUAACUAACUUUAAAUUGUUAAUAUCUUUUAAACAAUUAGUCGUCUCCCAUAAAAUAGGGUAUAGAAGCUGUACAUUUUUUCUUCAAAGAAUACGUGUCUGAUGAUACAUUUAAAAAUCUCAGGUAUGAAUUGAAACAAAUUAUGCGUUGUUUCAAGCUCAACUAUUGGGACGUAAAAAAAGUAUAAAAAGAUUAUCUAAAAAAGUUCAUUGAACAAUUUAUUAAAAAUGUAAACAAGAACAUUGAGUUUAUAAAGAUCCCUUUACAAAAAAGAAAUAAAAUUUCUGUAAGAAAAUAUA